CUGGCUCAGGAUGAACGCUGGCGGCGUGCCUAACACAUGCAAGUCGAACGGAACUGCAUAUGAAGAAUUCUUCGGAAUGAUUCGCUUGUAGUUAGUGGCGGACGGGUGAGUAACGCGUGAGUAACCUGCCCUUGAGAGGGGGAUAACGUUCUGAAAAGGACGCUAAUACCGCAUAACACUAUUUUAUCGCAUGGUAGAAUAGUCAAAACUCCGGUGCUCAGGGAUGGACUCGCGUCCGAUUAGAUAGUUGGUGAGGUAACGGCUCACCAAGUCGACGAUCGGUAGCCGGACUGAGAGGUUGAACGGCCACAUUGGGACUGAGACACGGCCCAGACUCCUACGGGAGGCAGCAGUGGGGGAUAUUGCGCAAUGGGGGGAAACCCUGACGCAGCAACGCCGCGUGGAUGAAGACGGUUUUCGGAUUGUAAAGUCCUUUUCUGGGGGACGAAAAAUGACGGUACCUCAGGAAUAAGCUCCGGCUAACUACGUGCCAGCCGCGGC
rnacentral:rRNA from 1 species